CACCGUAGUUUUCCUGUCUUGAGUUUCAGUUCCUCUCUAUUCCCUUAUGAAGUCAUUUUGCUGGUAGAAUAACUGGCUCUUUUGCUUUUUAAGGUCAGCAUUACAUGGUGACCCAGAUGGGAACCAAAGGAGAGGAACCCCUGAGGAAGUCACGACCCCCAGAACCAUAUAGAGUACCUACGUUAGUGCCUUGUGCUUUCUGCUUCUGUGAGUCAUCUUGCCUUUAGUUCGUUAAAAGGACUAGGAUGGAAUGGGAAACUGUCUGCUUCAGAUUCAGUUAUUUUAGCAAAGUGGCCCACCCACACCCCAGAGAAUUCAGCUACAAGGAAGACCACUAAAAUCUUUAAUUUUCAACUCUAACAAAUGGAAGCGCCUUAAGCAAAAGCAACCCCCUCCUGGUCUCUGCCAUUAUUGGACAUUGGAAGAAAGAUUGUUCCAAAGGUAAGUGUUCUAAGUGCCUUCAGCCCUCCAACCAGCCUUUCCAGUGCCCUCCGAACUCCCAACUACACGACUCCGAAGAAUUACAGGGGCUUUUCCCAAUUCUUCCUCUUUACCAGCUUGGAGAAGAAACUCUCCAGACUGGGUAUGAAUCUCUUUGUGUCCUUGUCGACACCAGACCUACGCUCUCAGUGCGCAGUCCUACUGUUAUUAAACAGCCCCUGCUUGAAGUACUGAAAUGGUUUAAGUAGUGGGGGUCACUAAUAAACCUCAGCCCGUUCCUAUCUUUAAACCAAUUCCUUCUUGUUUCCUUUAAGAGAUACUCAUUCUUUUCUUCUUAGUUCCUUUGCCCCUAUUCAAUUUUUGGGCUGAGAUUUCUUAGAAAAAUAACAUUGGAAUUUUUUUCUCCUGAAAGGGGGAGAUAAUUCUAGAAUUUGAUAGCAACAACCAAAAUUGCCAGCUCGGUGAAUCAGAUGACCCUUCAACAUCUUGUAUUUGUUCCGUCAGAUUUUUCACUGUGAUUGAUUUCUCUGUGGAUAAGGUCCGUCAAUUAUCUCUUUGCCUUUUGGGGAACAAGAGCAGUGUACCUGGGCAGUAAUGCCCCAGAGUUUUGCUGAAAGUCCUUCCUACUUCUCCCAAAUCUUAAAAGUGGAUUUAGAAGAUACAAAGUUAACUAGAAGUUCUGCCUUAUUACAAUACUCAGGCACUUGCUUCUCUGAUCCCCUUCUCAGGCGUUGCACGGACAGCAUCCACCUGUUUAGGCUGUUAGCCUUAAAAGGAACGCAAGGUUUCCAUGGAGAAACUGCAGUUUUCUCAGACUCUGGUUUGAUAUUUGCAGCACCUGAGCUCAGAACAAAAGCUACACAUAGAUCCAAAUAGGCUUCAUGGCAUCCUGAACUUCCCAAAACGAAGCCAGUUGUAAGGUUUUCUUAGGCUAGCUGGCUGCUGUGAAAAAUUAGAUUCCAGACUCUCUUGCUGUACUAAUCUUAACCUUGCCACCAUUCUUCCUUCUCUGUGGACAGUCCUCUUCAUGACUGUCAGACUCCCUGUGCUGGCUUACAGAAAGCUUCUUUGCAUAAAGCAGACUUUUGGUGGUUUACCAAUAGUUCUUAUUUAAAAGGUGGAAAUGGUAAAUAUUAUGUUGGGUAUGCUAUACAGGUUUUUUUUUAAGCCAUUAAGACAGCACCUUUGCCCUCAGCUAUCCUGGCCCAACAGGCUCUUCUUGUUCGGACUGCAUUUUAGCCAAGGGCAAAACUGAAAAUAUCUAUACUGACGGUAGGUAGGCCUUUGAAGUAGCUCAUCACUUUGGAAUGCUAAGGAAACAGUGAGGCUUCCUCACUUCUAGUGGGGACAAAAUUAAAAAUGGCCUUUAUGUUCAGAAAUGACUAGAUGCCAUACACUUGGCAGGUGCUUUGGCCGGUGUUAAGGUCCCUGCACAUUCUAAGCUGGAUUCCUUGGAGGCCAGAGGAAACCACCUAGUUGAUAUUUCCGCAAAGAAUGCUGCUCUUGAAGGAACCAACAGCCAAACCUCUGUCAUGGUCAAAGGGAUGUUCCCCUCCCCAAAUGAUAAUCUAGAAAAAUUGACUAGAGAUGCCCAACCAUCAGCCCCAGAAAAGGAAAAAACAACAUUGAAAACCUAAUGACUGCUGGUUUAAUUAAAAAAAAAAAAAGAAAACUCUGGGUUGGGCCAAAUAAUAAUCCAGUGCUGCCACAGACUCUAAAAUUCCUGGUACUGACUACUGUAUAUGUAUCCAAUCAUUGGUCUGCUGAUAAAAUGAAAACCUUUGAGCCAAUACUGGUGGGUAAAUGUUAACAAGACCACACAGUGCCUACUCUGCUUGCCCUACCUGCCUUUAAAUAUAAUUUGGGAAAACCUGUGUGCACUGCUUCUGGACACUGUAAAUUGCCCAAUGAAUCAAAGUUUGGCAGAUGGAUUUUAUUCAGCUUCCUCCGUCUCAGGCAUAUAAAUUUGUCUUGAUAAUGGUUUGUAUGUUUUCUCACCGGACUGCUAUUUUUUUUGUGGCUAAAAUCCUGCUAGAAAAAAUCAUCCGUACCUGGGGAAUUCCCCUCAAACUUCAUAGUGACCAGAGAACUUGCUUCAACAGGUUUGUGUUGUUUGGGUAUUGUUACAACAUUUCUCCUGUGUUUGCUACCCUUAAUCCUCAGGGCAAGUCAAACACACUAAUGGUAUUGUUAAGCAAAAUUUGUAGAGGCUCUUCAAAUAAUCCGGCCAAAAGCACUGCCAUUAGUUUUCCUACAUUUUAGAUCUACCUCUUUGGAACCUAUAAACUCUUACCUUUUGAGAUAAUCACAGGAUGGCCCAUGUACUUGGCUCCUGCUUCUUUUGAUCCACAAAUGGUAAAAGGAGAUAUACUUAAAUAUUGCACAGGCCCAAUUGCUUCUGUUGAGAAUAACCACGCUUUAGUAGAACAAUCUUUCCACAGUGUGUUCCUGGGAGACAAAGAUCUAAAGCGUCAUACCUUGCAGUCCAGAGAUUUCAUCUAUUGGAAAAGACAGCUACAGGAAGACUCUCUUCAACCCUGUUGGAAAGGCCCCUUUCAGAUUUAAUUUUUAAACGAAUCUCUCCACCCAACGUGGAGCUCGAACUCACAACCCGGAGAUCAAGAGUUGCACACUCCUCUGACUGAGCCAGCCAAGAGCCUCCCGUGUGUCACAUCUAAUGAAAGUGCCAAACCCUGACUAGAUCUGCACAUCCCCUGAGUAUCUGGAAAUAAAGAUUUCCAGGAAUUGAAGCAGACGACAGCUGAAGGAGACAGCUUUCCCAAGAUGACUGGACCAGACCUGUAUACCUUUUUCUCGCUGUUGCUUCUUACCUUAUUUCCUCCCUUUCUUUCUAAUCUAUUGCAAAAAGGGAGCCUUUCUGGCUGUUGGAUCUGACACCAGAAACUUCGAUUUGUUCUUCCCUAUUUAUUAUUUGUUUCCCUGCAUCCAAGGGAAAUACAAAUGAGCUAAUUCCUCUUUGCAAGGCUUUUUAAAAAAAGAUUUUUGUUUAUUUAUUUGAGUGAGAGAGCGCAAAAGUAAGUGAGCAGGGAGGAGCAAAGGGGAAAGGAAAAAGAAUCUGAAGCAGAUUCCGCACUGAAUAUGGAGCCCUACUCGGGGCUGGAUCCCAUAACAGCAAGAUCAUGACCUGAGCCAAAACCAAGAGUCUGAUGCUCAACCAACUGAGCCAUGUAGGUGCCCCUGCAAGGCUUUUGGAAAAGACCCCUUUAGCCUUGCAGAAGUUCUGCUCAUCUUACUCUGUAUAAUCUUUUUUUAAACAAGAUUUUAUUUAUUUAUUUGACAGAGAUCACAAGUAGGCAGAGAGGCAGGCAGAGAGAGGAGGAAGCAGGCUCCCUGCUGAGCAGAGAGUCCGACUCGAGGCU